rnacentral:tRNA from 2 species
AUUCAUUUAGUAAAAAAAUUAUUUUAGACUUCCAAUCUGAGGGUCCGUCUAAUUGGCGGGAUGAAUA